UUUCAUAUAUGAUAUGAAUGCAUGAAGGGGCCUAAGGUCAAUAUAGGUAAAAAGCCUUAGAUAUUCAAUCCACAGAGUUUUUAGCCUUUUAAAAUUGCACCUCCGCUAAAAAUUCAUGGGUCUGCUAGCUAGUACGUGUGGCCCUACCUAGUGAAAACCCACAUCUCCUCCAAUACUUGCAAAUCCAUUACCAAAAACUUUAAUAUAAUUAUUGAAACUAUCUUACCUUUUUUUUUUUUUACACAAACCUUAAAAAUAGUCUUUUUCACCUCUUCUUUCUUGGUGCAGACAACAAAAUUUAGAGGUAUUUAUUCAAAAACUCAUUUUAGCAUGACAUAUUAUACAAAAAC
rnacentral:lncRNA from 1 species